UAGGGUACAAAGUCACCUUGUUCCCAGCGAUGUGCCAGACUUGCAGCCCAAAGCAGCCAGAAAGGAUUCCAGGCACCUCUCAGGAUGUUUUUUCUUCUCCACAAGGUUUUGCAGGAUUGGUGAAUUUUGACACACCCUGCUUCCAGACUGUCUUAGGAAUGGAAUUCUCCAUAUAGCUCUUGAAAAAAGAGGACAUGAGAUUAUUGGAUAAAAAGUAUACAGAAGUUUGCUGUUCCACAAGGAAGAAUCCAGCCUUUUCCACUAAACAUGAAGGUGUGGAAUGCCUUCAACAAUACCAGUAUGUACGGUGCAUGUACCAAACUUCAUAAAACCAAACCAUAACUCCAUACUGACAUCUAACUGCCUGAGUAAUGUCUUUCAAGAAAAGUCUUCACUUUCCUGAAGUCCCUUUUGAUGCAGGAUAGGUCUUUGUCAAUAUCCAUGACACCUUGGAUCAAACUCCAUGAUAGGAGGCUACAAAAGGUUUCAGAGCAACAGUUUUCAGAGUUCUGUAAAUCAGAUAAAAAGUUACAAGGAAGUCCAUGCUGGAAGAGGGCAUGCAGAUUCCUUUAUGCCACACAAGGAUUUUGCAAGACCAAGGUCAACCAGGUAAAGAGGAAGCUAGAAAAAUAUAUGUAAACUGUUUAAAAGCAAAGUUAAAGAGCCAACGGGAAUACUUUUUAAAUGAGCAUUGAAUUUUCCAUUGUCUAAACAGUCAAUUUGUAGUUCAGUUUAAGUUAUUUGACUAAUUUUAGGAGAAGAUCAAAUUUCAUGGUCUGUCUUUAAGUGGCAAGUCAGAGUAAAUAACUAUCUUCUGACUAUGAAAUCCUGUUAAUUCCAAUUAAGGAAUCCAAGUCACACCUAAAUCUUUGAAGCUUUUAUGUUUCAAAAAUAAAAACCAAGGUGUUCACGUUCUUGGAUAUCAGAAACACAACACCUGGAAACACUUGUUUCCUUCUAGCAGUCUCCUGAAAUCUUUGUUUUGGCACUUGUAGUUUUUCUCCACUUAACAGUCAAGAGAUACAGAGGAAUAAAAGUUCUAACCACAUACAGCUCUUACUUUACCACUUCUAGUAGAAGGCUUUUUUCCCCCCAGCUUUGAUUCCGAUUUAAAUGGAAUUUUAAAUCAUGUGAUAAAUAUAUCCCUGAUUAAAUUACUCUUUAUCCAGUUACAGUUGUGAGUGGGUGACAGCUACAGCCUGUAUUUUCCUUGAAGUAAUUUCAGCAUAACGUGAGGGGAUAUUUGAGAAGGUAUGUUAAGAAUAUUCUUUAAUUUUCUUCAUAGUGAAAAAAUUUCAUGUAAUUGUUGGCCUACUUCCCAAAACCUUAGCUGGAGAAGGAAAGACUGCAUAUUGCACAUUCGCAUUAGAUUCAGAGAGAGUAUACAUCCUAAUGUUUAACUUCCACGCCAAGCAAUAAAGGUAAAAAAACAUUCAAGAGAGUCACAGUUUUAUAUCAGGAAGUUAGUUCUUUUCCCUAGAUUAAAAUAAUUGAAAAUAAUAAAACCUGUUUUGAAUCUCCAGUCAAUAUCCUACUUAACGUCACCCUGAGAAGAAAUUUUUGCCAAGAUUUUUUCUUCAAGCUUUUUUUUUUUAAGUAGUCAUAAGCUGGGGAAGGAAUUAAAAAAACCCUAGAAAAGUUAAACCAGCAUGGCAUUGAUAUUUGAGGGCUUGCCUCAUUUUUCUUCCAGCUACGUGUAUUACCCAGGUUGAUCUCAGAAGCAAAACUGAAAAGGCUCAUUUUUAAAAACACACAUCUCUCUAUCUGAUAAAUCAUGAUGACCAAAGCAAAAUAUACAUCUUGGAUUUUAAUUCUGAGAGACACAGAAAUAUUCUAUAUUGAGAAGCAAUGGAACUAGUCACAAAGCACAAAUCAAUUUCUUGAUUUUUUACCUUUUCUUCACACUUGAUAUUGCUCAAGAUUGGACAAGAUGGAUCCCUGGAAAUGUGGCUUGGAUGAGCAGAACCUUAUAGGACUAUCUCAGAAUGAACCAAGCCCACAUACAUCAACUGCUGCAUGUACUCGUAUCCCUUCGGAAAGUGUAAAAUAGUUUUUAAAUGGGAGCUUGACUUCUAUUUAGUAAACAUUGCUUUAGGGAGAGAAUUUCAUGCCUUCACUGGCAAUAGGAAUACUGUCAGACUUGGCAAAACAAAACAGUUUUAGAUGAUGUUUAAGUAUCAACACCUCUUUCACUGUCUCUAUGCUCAAAAUACUCAUCACCUGUUGGAGUGUCUAGGUCAAUUUUAGUUCUUUUAUUCUAAUUUUUUUCUUACUGUAGAAAGGAUAAAAUCUUGGGGAGUUUCUUAUGACUCUGAAAUACUUAAAAGAAAAAUCUACCUCCUAAUCUUCUGCACAAAAGCAGCCUCAGAGACUCUAUAUACAACAGUUACUGCUUUACUUUUCAGCCGCUUCCAAUAUAACUGAUUAGCUGCAGCUCUCAACUGCACCAGUAGGCACAAAAAGGUUAAGGCAAACUCUUAUAAAACAGGAAAGAAAAAGACAGCAGGGCAACACUGCUGAAUUUAAAAAAAAAAAACAAUUUAGAAUUGGAAUUUAACAUCAAAAUUAGGCAAGAGACAUGAGAACAUUGCAAAAGAAAAGAAACUCCACACAGAAAAGUUUAGGAUACUUUGUAUUUCAAAUGAAGACAGCUUAACAGAACCAAAUUUAAUUUCUUACAAAAGGAAAAUUAUUUUGUAGAGGUAUUUUCAAGAUUCAGAUUUAAGGCUCAAUAAGAACAGUGUCUUUGGAAAGGCCAAACAUUGUAGUGAAGAAAAUUUAUGACAACAUAUAUUUAUCAGAAGCUAUUUUAUUGACAACAAAUACAAAACUGUUGCUCUCAUUCCCUGAUGUUUAAUUUUAAAGAUACAGCUUUUCCUUCCCCACUCUUACAGACUUGUAAAUAUAGCAUUGUAAAAAACCAAAACCAAAACAAAACAAAAAACAAAAAACAAAAAAACAAACAAACAAAAAAAAAAGUGACAAUAAAUUAAGAAAAAAAAAAUGGGAGGAGGAGGAGGAGAAAAGCCCAACCCAUCAAUGAGAAAAUGCAUUAGAAGCAAUAGAAAAGUUAAGCAAUAGAAUUGAAGUAUCAUAUUAUGUACUCCUUCCAAGAGAACUUUGGGGGUUUUGCACAUGAAAUAAAAUAGCAGCAAAGAAAAAGGAUAAGUACAAGUGCAUUUGUGU
rnacentral:lncRNA from 1 species